GACGAACGCUGGCGGCGUGCCUAAUACAUGCAAGUAGAACGCUGAGGACUGGUGCUUGCACCGGUCCAAGGAGUUGCGAACGGGUGAGUAACGCGUAGGUAACCUACCUCAUAGCGGGGGAUAACUAUUGGAAACGAUAGCUAAUACCGCAUAAAAGUGUUUAACCCAUGUUAAACAUUUAAAAGGUGCAAUUGCAUCACUAUGAGAUGGACCUGCGUUGUAUUAGCUAGUUGGUGAGGUAACGGCUCACCAAGGCGACGAUACAUAGCCGACCUGAGAGGGUGAUCGGCCACACUGGGACUGAGACACGGCCCAGACUCCUACGGGAGGCAGCAGUAGGGAAUCUUCGGCAAUGGACGGAAGUCUGACCGAGCAACGCCGCGUGAGUGAAGAAGGUUUUCGGAUCGUAAAACUCUGUUGUUAGAGAAGAAUGAUGGUGGGAGUGGAAAAUCCACCAUGUGACGGUAACUAACCAGAAAGGGACGGCUAACUACGUGCCAGCAGCCGCGGUAAUACGUAGGUCCCGAGCGUUGUCCGGAUUUAUUGGGCGUAAAGCGAGCGCAGGCGGUUCUUUAAGUCUGAAGUUAAAGGCAGUGGCUCAACCAUUGUACGCUUUGGAAACUGGAGAACUUGAGUGCAGAAGGGGAGAGUGGAAUUCCAUGUGUAGCGGUGAAAUGCGUAGAUAUAUGGAGGAACACCGGUGGCGAAAGCGGCUCUCUGGUCUGUAACUGACGCUGAGGCUCGAAAGCGUGGGGAGCAAACAGG
rnacentral:rRNA from 1 species